CGCGAAUGGCUCAUUACAACAGCUAUAAUUUACUUGAUCUUGACAAUCCUACUUGGAUAACUGUGGUAAUUCUAGAGCUAAUACAUGCACCAAAGCUCUGACCUUACGGGAAGAGUGCAUUUAUUAGAACAAAACCAAGCGGCUUCGGUCGUUUUUUGUUGACUCAGAAUAACUAAGCUGAUCGCAUGGUCUUGUACCGGCGACGUGUCUUUCAAGUAUCUGCCUUAUCAACUUUCGAUGGUAGUGUAUCUGACUACCAUGGUUGUGACGGGUAACGGAGGAUAAGGGUUCGACUCCGGAGAAGGGGCCUGAGAAAUGGCCACUACGUCUAAGGAUGGCAGCAGGCGCACAAAUCACCCACUCUCAGAACGAGGAGGUAGUGACGAGAAAUAACGAGACCGUUCUCUACGAGGCCGGUCAUCGGAAUGGGUACAAUCUAAACCCUUUAACGAGUAUCUAUGAGAGGGCAAGUCUGGUGCCAGCAGCCGCGGUAAUUCCAGCU
rnacentral:rRNA from 1 species